UAAUACGGAGGGGGCAAGCGUUGUUCGGAACUACUGGGCGUAAAGGGCGCGCAGGCUGUUUCGUUAGUCAGGCGUGAAAUCCCCGGGCUCAACCCGGGAACUGCGUUUGAUACUGCGGAACUAGAGAUCGGGAGAGGGUAGUGGAAUUCCCAGUGUAGAGGUGAAAUUCGUAGAUAUUGGGAAGAACACCAGUGGCGAAGGCGGCUACCUGGACCGAUACUGACGCUGAGGCGCGAAAGCGUGGGGAGCAAACAGGAUUAGAUACCCUGGUAGUCCACGCCGUAAACGAUGUGUGCUAGACGUCGGGGGUUAUGCCUUCGGUGUCGCAGCUAACGCAUUAAGCACACCGCCUGGGGAGUACGGCCGCAAGGUUA
rnacentral:rRNA from 1 species